rnacentral:tRNA from 1 species
GGAGAGAUGUCCGAGUUGGCUGAAGGAGCACGAUUGGAAAUCGUGUGAAUCACCCAAAGUGGUUCCGAGGGUUCGAAUCCCUCUCUCUCCG